rnacentral:rRNA from 1 species
AUUCCAGCUCCAAUAGCGUAUAUUAAAGUUGUUGCAGUUAAAAAGCUCGUAGUUGGACUUCUGGCAGGUUUUCAAGGUCCGCUUGUUGCGUGUGCUGCGAAACCCUACCAUCCAUCUGUUAACUCUUCGCGGCCUUUACUGGCCGGUUGAGGGCUCAGAUAUUUUACCUUGAGAAAAUUAGAGUGUUUCAGGCAGGCUUGCGCCGGAAUACAUUAGCAUGGAAUAAUGGAAUAGGACUUUUGCCUCUUCCGUUGGUCGCAGGGGUUAAAGUAAUGAUUAAUAGGGAUAGUUGGGGGCAUUAGUACUUAACUGUCAGAGGUGAAAUUCUCGGAUUUGUUAAAGACUAACUUAUGCGAAAGCAUUUGCCAAGGAUGUUUUCAUUA